rnacentral:misc_RNA from 1 species
UCCGUAGGUGAACCUGCGGAAGGAUCAUUAUUGAAAACAAGGGUGUCCAAUUUAACUUGGAACCCAAACUUCUCAAUUCUAACUUUGUGCAUCUGUAUUAAUGGCGAGCAACUUCGGUUGUGAGCCUUCACUUACAAAACACUAGUCUAUGAAUGUAAAAUUUUUAUAACAAAUAAAAACUUUCAACAACGGAUCUCUUGGCUCUCGCAUCGAUGAAGAACGCAGCGAAAUGCGAUACGUAAUGUGAAUUGCAGAAUUCAGUGAAUCAUCGAAUCUUUGAACGCAUCUUGCGCUCUCUGGUAUUCCGGAGAGCAUGUCUGUUUGAGUGUCAUGAAUUCUUCAACCCAAUCUUUUCUUGUAAUCGAUUGGUGUUUGGAUUCUGAGCGUUGCUGGCGUUUGCCUAGCUCGUUCGUAAUACAUUAGCAUCCCUAAUACAAGUUUGGAUUGACUUGGCGUAAUAGACUAUUCGCUAAGGAUUCGGUGGAAACAUCGAGCCAACUUCAUUAAGGAAGCUCCUAAUUUAAAAGUCUACCUUUUGAUUAGAUCUCAAAUCAGGCAGGAUUACCCGCUGA